rnacentral:rRNA from 1 species
UACGUAGGGGGCAAGCGUUGUCCGGAUUUAUUGGGCGUAAAGAGCGUGUAGGCGGCCUGACAGGUCUGCUGUGAAAACUCGAGGCUCAACCUCGAGAUGUCGGCGGAAACCGUCUGGCUAGAGUCCGGAAGAGGAGAGUGGAAUUCCUGGUGUAGCGGUGAAAUGCGCAGAUAUCAGGAAGAACACCUAUGGCGAAGGCAGCUCGCUGGGACGUACGACGCUGAGACGCGAAAGCGUGGGGAGCAAACAGG